UCAGUUCGGAUUGUAGGCUGCAACUCGCCUACAUGAAGUCGGAAUCGCUAGUAAUCGCGGAUCAGCACGCCGCGGUGAAUACGUUCCCGGGCCUUGUACACACCGCCCGUCACACCACGAGAGUUUGUAACACCCGAAGUCGGUGAGGUAACCUAUUAGGAGCCAGCCGCCUAAGGUGGGAUAGAUGAUUGGGGUGAAGUCGUAACAAGGUAAC
rnacentral:rRNA from 1 species